UAACCCAAAAGACGUUUCUGGCAAUCAUUUAAGAACCACUACAAGAUUCACAUCCCACCAGAAAUCCUGUGGAACAUCCAUCUUAUAGGAGUGUCCUAGAUAUAAGUCAUCAGAGAAACUCUGCAGGAAGGAAGGAACCUUAAGGAGUCAAAGAACCAUAAUUUACACCUUCUUCAGUAGAAAAAGCCUGCCAGCUGAUUUAAGGCCUUGGAUUUUUAUAGUUUGACUUGGUCAGGAUACUAAGUAAAGAAUGACCAGGCAAUACUCUUUGAAAAUUGGAGACCAUUUGCAGCUGCUCUCUGCUGAGGAAAGUGAAUAAUAGGGUGCCCUCAAGGAAUUUCAAAGAGACUGGAAAGAUGUGAUGACAGCUUUUUCUGAUGGCCCUGUUAAUCGUUUUCCCUAACAAGGAAAGGGGAAGGGAAUAAUUCUCUGCAAUAGUAUUGACUUCUUAUGUGA